rnacentral:tRNA from 1 species
GGCCUAUUAUAUCAACGCUUUCCAACUAAAUCUGUUAUAAUCCGAUAACUUUCACUUCCUUGACAGGGAAGGGGUCGUGGGUUCGAAUCCCUCACAGGUCA